rnacentral:rRNA from 1 species
GAUGAACGCUGGCGGCGUGCUUAACACAUGCAAGUCGAACGGGAAACCUUUUAUUGAAGCUUCGGCAGAUUUAGAUUGUUUCUAGUGGCGGACGGGUGAGUAACGCGUGGGUAACCUGCCUUAUACAGGGGGAUAACAGUCAGAAAUGACUGCUAAUACCGCAUAAGCGCACAGAGCUGCAUGGCUCGGUGUGAAAAACUCCGGUGGUAUAAGAUGGACCCGCGUUGGAUUAGCUGGUUGGUGAGGUAACGGCCCACCAAGGCGACGAUCCAUAGCCGGCCUGAGAGGGUGAACGGCCACAUUGGGACUGAGACACGGCCCAGACUCCUACGGGAGGCAGCAGUGGGGAAUAUUGCACAAUGGGGGAAACCCUGAUGCAGCGACGCCGCGUGAAGGAAGAAGUAUCUCGGUAUGUAAACUUCUAUCAGCAGGGAAGAAUUAGGACGG